AGUAACCACACACUACCAGAACUAUAUACUUACGUGUUCAAGACAUUGUUUCCUCUACGGGAGAAGAUAGAUAACGUUUAAAAUAUGGCAUACAGCACUGGAAUUAUUCUUGUCCUUCUCUGUUUCUCCUCGUUUACUGCUCAUGCUUCGUGGACUAAAAUAUCCGGAUACAAAUUCAUCAGCGGAAUCAGCGUGGGCUCAGAAACCACUUACCACAGUGAUAUAGCUGGUGCGAGGCCUCUCUGCCAACAGAGAUGCGACCAAUUCGCUUCCUGUAACGCGUUCCGUCUGUACAGCUUUGUGGGUACAGUGUUCUGUACUCUUUUUGAAACUAUCAGUGAUUACUCAUGCCCGACUGAUAGUACUGAUUGGAACUGCAUGUUUGCUGACGGGGAGUCGUGGAAGAAAAGCGACUUGAGGAGAUAGAAGGUAAAAGGCUCUAUUUACGCGUUGCGUACUUAUACUUAAGGUUUCCAAGACAAUUUCUAGGCCAUAAAUAAUCUGUAACCUUUAUGAAAUAACUCCAAAAUCGUGUUAAACAACCUCUCACAUGAUAAAAAAUUGUUAGUUACGAUAUAAAAUUCUAGACUUUCCUCACGUUUCUACUCAACAGUAUGUUAAAAUGUUAGGAAUAUUUACACAUCAUGGAGUAAUCCCUUCAGGCCUCUCUUCGAGGGGGGUGGGGGGUGCGGUCGCAGCUUCCCGGAGAGGUUAACAGUCAAUUUUCCUUUAGAAGGUAUUUCGAACGGACAACUAAAUUUCUCAGCGAAAACAUAUAUUGACCGACCUCCAAUUCACAAAAGGAAUUAAUUUUCAGAAACGUGAAUCCAGCCUCAUUUUUGAGUAUCGUCAUGAUAAUAUUACAAGGGAUCGUUGCCGAUAAACAAGCUGCGGAUUCUUCUUGACGAAAAUUUUUGACUUCUAGCGACACACUCAGCUGAUGUAACACCUGUACUUUACUUUUUCUUUUACAGACAAACGACAAGUGGCUUUCCUCACACACAUUUAGCGGCUCCCAUUAUACAGAAACAUUAAAACUCGUUUCUCAUAUUGUUUUUUUGAACUCAACUUUGCCCGUCUUUAUUUACAGUUCUUACUAGAAAAGUCCAUCAACAUUUGUCCAAUGAAAUCGAGGUGCAAAAAGUGCUGAUAGUAUUUACCGAUCCAAGAAACAGCGAGGUCGAGAUUCCGCCAUUUUUUUCCGCAAAUGAUACUUACUUGUCAACUUUCCGCUCAAAAUAACAAUCAAAAACAGGAUAAAUAAAGUUCUCUUUCGCGGCUAACCUUA